GUUAUUUACAGAUACCAAUCGCAACUGAGGACCAAGAAAAGACAACAUUUACUUACCCCUAUGGGACGUUCGCAUACCGGAGGAUGCCAUUUGGUUUAUGCAAUGCAUCUGCCACUUUUUAGAGAUGUAUGAUGGCAAUCUUCCACGAUAUGAUUGAGGAGUCUAUGGAGAUUUUCAUGGACGACUUCUCAGUGUUUGGUAACUCUUUCUCACACUACUUGUCUAAUUUAAAGCGCAUGCUUGCACGAUGUGUUGAGGUAAAUUUAGUUCUUAAUUGGAAAAAAUGUCAUUUUAUGGUAAGAGAGGGUAUUGUGAUAGGGCACGAGAUUUCACAUGCGGGGAUGGAGGUAGAUAGAGCUAAGGUAGAGACCAUAUCGAAAUUGCCACCCCCUAGUUUUGUUAAGGCUGUUAGGAGCUUCCUCGGGCAUGCUGGCUUUUAUAGGAGAUUCAUUAAGGAUUUUUCUAAAAUAGUUAGGCCUCUUACUCAAUUGCUUGUUAAGGAUGUACCUUUUGUGUUUGAUUCAGAUUACUUAUAGGCUUUUGAGUUAUUAAAAAAGUUACUAACCACAGCUCCUAUCAUGGUUUCACUUGAUUGGGGGCUGCCCUUUGAACUAAUGUGCGAUGCUAGUGACUAUGCAGUUGCAGCUAUUCUUAAACAGCAGGUUGAGAAGAAGUUCUAGCCUAUCUAUUAUGCUAGCAAGACAUUGACAAACGCCCAAGAGCACUACACCACCACUGAGAAGGAGCUGUUAGAUGUGGUUUAUGCCUUUAACAAGUUCCGUUCAUACCUUGUGCUAUCUAAGACCAUCGUCUAUACGGACCAUUCGACAUUGAGGUACUUGUUCAGAAAGAAUGAUGCUAAACCAAGACUGAUUAGAUGGAUUCUACUCUUGCAGGAGUUUGACAUAGAAAUCAAGGAUAAAAAGGGCGCUGAGAACUUGGUAGCGGAUCACUUAUUGAGGUAUAUACCGAUUCCCCUUGGUUUUCGGAUUAUGCGAAUUAUUUGGUUGCGAGGGUCCUACCAAAAGUGAUUCAGCGAUGUGUAUAUGGGGAGGAAACUCUCAAAAUCCUUAAGCAUUGCCAUGAGGGACCAACUAGAAGCCAUCAAGCGACCAAUCAUACGGCUAGGAAGGUGUUGGAUGCGGGAUUCUACUGUCCUAGAAUCUUUCAGGAUGCGAGAACCUUUGUCUAGGUUUGCGAUGCAUGCCAGCGGUCAGGUAAUAUCUUUUCCCGUGAUGAGAUACCCCAGACUAGUAUACAAGUUGUUGAGAUUUUUGAUGUUUGGGGCAUCGACUUCAUGGGACCCUUUCCUUCUUCUUAUGGAAAUAAGUAUAUACUUGUGGCUGUUGAGUAUUUUUCUAAGUGGCUAGAAGCGCAAGCCUUCCCCACUGAUGAUGCCAAGGUAGUUGCUAGGUUCCACAAGAAAUUACUUACUAGGUUUGGUACACCUAAAGCAUUGAUUAGUGAUAGAGGGACCAAUUUUUAUAAUACCUAACUAGGGAAAGUACUUAAACGUUAUGGGAUCACACACCGGUUCUCUACACCCUAUUACCUACAAAUUAGUGGGUAAGUGGAGGUAACUAAUAGGAGUCUAAAACGCAUUCUAGAGAGAACCGUAGGGACUAGUAGGAAGGAUUAGGCUGCUAAGUUAGAUGAUGCACUAUGGGCUUUUAGAACAGCCUAUAGGACUUUUAUUUGCUUUAAACAGUAUAGGCUAGUUUAUGGUAAGAGAUGUCAUCUACCUGUUGAAUUGGAACACAGGGCCCUUUGGGCUUUGAAAUCAUGUAAUUUUAAUGUUGAUUCUGUAGGUAAAGAAAGACAAUGGCAGCUGAAUAAGUUAGAGGAGUGGUGUUAGCAAGCUUAUGACAACUCUAUAAUUUACAAAGCUAGGACGAAGAAGUGGCACGAUCAGUGACUGAAAGGCUCGAAAGGGUUCAAAGCUAGAGACAGGGUUCUCUUAUAUAACUCAUGUCUUUGGUUGUUUCCAAGUAAGUUGAAGAGUCGAUGGUCGGGACUGUUCGUAGUCAAGCAAGUCUUUCCAUAUGGCAUAAUGGAGUUGCAUCAUCCGAAGAAAGGAGACUUUAAAGUUAAUGGGAAUAGGCUGAAGCACUAUCACGAGAACUCAUAAGAAGUUGAGGAGCGAGUGAACAUAAUGCUUUUCCCGCAAUAGUAGUCCGGUGUUAAGUCCAGCUAAAUGACUCGAGAACCAAAAAGAAGCGCUUUUUGGGAGGCAUUCCUAUAUUUAGCUUUACAUUUUUUUAUUAGUCGUUUGCAUGUUUGAUGGUAGUUAGAACAUUUGCUUAAUGACUAAACUUAAUUGUUUGAAGCUAGGUUUUUAAUAACUUAAGUCGGAUUUUUGGUGAUUGGUGAAUAUUAGUUUCACUGUCGAUACAUUUUUACUUGAAUUAUAGCCUAAAUGUGUAUGUAUGUGUGUUGAAUGCAGGUAGGGAGUCGGGCAGUUCGAGAUGUCGAACUCGGAGGCUGGAUUUCAAUGGUUCACCACGGCUUCCGUGGGCAUCAUAGGUUGGAUCACUAGGCCAUGUUGAUCAGCACGGCUAGAGUCCUACCCGUGAUGAAUAUGCACGUAUAAGAGAUUGGAAAUUGGCUGCCCAUCACAGCUUCCAAAGGCACCAUGGGCGGCAACACCAGGCCGUGCUGAUCAGCACGGCCACGCCCUUACCCUUGGUGAACAUGCACAUGGAAGGCACUUUAAGCUUCAGCACGGGCUAAGUCGAGGCCAUGCUGACCAGCACGGUCAUGCCCUCGCCCGCGAUUAUAAAAGGAGGCCAUUUCAAACCUUUGACAAGUUUCCCUCUCUAAAAUUCUAAGGCAAUAUGAGGGACCGAGAUCAAUCCCGUUGCCAGCAACCACAAUGCGCCGCUAUUAGCAAGCGUUCGCGUGGCGAGGGAACUUCUUCUUCUACUUCACCUUUACCUGGGCAACCACCAGCACCAGCGCCCGCACCUGGUUGACAUUGCUUAUGGACAUUUCAAAAUGCUGAUAACGAGAGCCGCUUCCAAGUUAUGAGAUGGAAGCAAGUAAUGGUCGGACGAUGCAUUGACUUUGUAUCCCUAGAGAGAGUUGGAUUGGCUCAAGAUAUUCGUGCAUUAUUUGAUACAUUGCCUUACGCACGCUUCUUUGACAUCAUUGAGCCUACCUAUCGCGAGCCCACCAUUGAAUUCCUAAGCACCUUCUUCCCACAGCAACAUAUCACAAACUGGCAUAAGCUUGAUGCAGUUUACUUCAGACUUGGAGGAAGGGAGUUCUCAAUGUCAGUUCCACAGUUCGAGAUGCACUUGGGUUUAUGGACCGAGUAGGAGAUCUCAGGCGAGGAGAAUCAGGGAUGCAUCUACGUCCACCCUAUCUCGUACGACACUAUGUGUGAUUCAAUAGUACUCAGGCCAGAAUCAUACUAUCCCAGCAGGUCUAAGGCGUCUAGCCUUCUAGAUCAUUUCCACUAUCUUCAUACACUUUUAGCUUACACUAUUAUAGGCCGAGGAGAUAGUUUUGGAGCGAUCACACAGAACGAUGUAUUCAUUCUUUGGGCUAUGCAACACCAUAAGAAGCUUGACAUAUGGUAUUUAUUUGCUCGUCAAGUUCGUUCCUUCAUAGUCGAUGCUCAGAAGAAAAUGCAUUGCUGCUUUGGCCCGUAUAUGACUAGAUUGGCCAAGAGAUUGGAUGUACUGGACGAUUGUCUAGCCGAGCUUUCUCAGAUUGGUGACAUGACACCAUUAGGGGUUAGACAGGUUAUCAACAUGCAGAUGAUCAUGGCCACUCGAAACCCACAUGGCAUUGAGUACAGCCUUGUCAGUGCAAUAGUCAGGGAGGCUAGAGAGGCAGCAGCUCGAGGAGCUCAAGACCCUACUGCUGAGAUUCUGGAUGUUAGGAUUCCUAACCCAACCAAAGUAUUUAUGCCUAGAUCUGGAGCUUCCUCUUCUUACUAUGUAGGGACAUCGAGUGCUUAGAUUAGUGCUUUGGUUGACCGACUAGAUCGAGUUUGUGAUUUAC